GAUGAACGCUAGCUACAGGCUUAACACAUGCAAGUCGAGGGGAAACGACAUCGAAAGCUUGCUUUUGAUGGGCGUCGACCGGCGCACGGGUGAGUAACGCGUAUCCAACCUGCCCAUCGCUUGGGAAUAACCUUGCGAAAGUAAGACUAAUACCCAAUGACAUCCCACGAAGACAUCUGAAUGGGAUUAAAGAUUUAUCGGUGAUGGAUGGGGAUGCGUCUGAUUAGCUUGUUGGCGGGGUAACGGCCCACCAAGGCAGCGAUCAGUAGGGGUUCUGAGAGGAAGGUCCCCCACAUUGGAACUGAGACACGGUCCAAACUCCUACGGGAGGCAGCAGUGAGGAAUAUUGGUCAAUGGGCGAGAGCCUGAACCAGCCAAGUAGCGUGCAGGAUGACGGCCCUAUGGGUUGUAAACUGCUUUUAUAAGGGAAUAAAGUGGGUCUCGUGAGACUUUUUGCAUGUACCUUAUGAAUAAGGACCGGCUAAUUCCGUG
rnacentral:rRNA from 1 species